UACGUAGGGCGCAAGCGUUGUCCGGAAUUAUUGGGCGUAAAGAGCUCGUAGGCGGCUUGUCACGUCGGGUGUGAAAGACCGGGGCUUAACCCCGGUUCUGCAUUCGAUACGGGCUAGCUAGAGUGUGGUAGGGGAGAUCGGAAUUCCUGGUGUAGCGGUGAAAUGCGCAGAUAUCAGGAGGAACACCGGUGGCGAAGGCGGGUCUCUGGGCAGUUCCUGACACUGAGGCACGAAGGCCAGGGGAGCAAACGGG
rnacentral:rRNA from 1 species